AUUGAACGCUGGCGGCAUGCUUUACACAUGCAAGUCGAACGGUAACAGGCCUUCGGGUGCUGAUGAGUGGCGAACGGGUGAGUAAUGCAUCGGAACGUACCCAGAGGUGGGGGAUAACGCAGCGAAAGCUGUGCUAAUACCGCAUGUGAUCUGAGGAUGAAAGCGGGGGACCGAGCAGCAAUGUUUGGCCUCGCGCCUUUGGAGCGGCCGAUGUCGGAUUAGCUAGUUGGUGGGGUAAAGGCCUACCAAGGCGACGAUCCGUAGCUGGUCUGAGAGGACGACCAGCCACACUGGGACUGAGACACGGCCCAGACUCCUACGGGAGGCAGCAGUGGGGAAUUUUGGACAAUGGGCGCGAGCCUGAUCCAGCAAUGCCGCGUGCGGGAAGAAGGCCUUCGGGUUGUAAACCGCUUUUGGCAGGAACGAAACGGUGUCCGCUAAUACCGGGCGCUAAUGACGGUACCUGCAGAAUAAGCACCGGCUAACUACGUG
rnacentral:rRNA from 1 species